CAGCUAGCAGCCAGUUAUCAGUUCUGUUUUCUAUCUUUGAUUUUUAUGUUUUUGAUUUUUUUUUGUUCUAAUUCACGCACGCUUAAUCGAAUCCUCAUUGAAAUCCGGACGGAUCCGAAGAAUUGAUUACCUUCAUUAAGUGGCUAUGCAGAGAACAGCGAAUCAGUUCAAUUAUAAGGACUACGAGUAUUUUAAAUCUGCAUGUUGUGGUCGGUGUCGAGAAGGCAGACAUAUCUUCGCUGAUACCCCUGGUGUACAUGAAUUGCACAUCGUAUCUCG
rnacentral:sRNA from 1 species